rnacentral:rRNA from 1 species
GANUUCAACGGCCGNCGGUACUCUGACCGUGCAAAGGUAGCACAAUCACUUGUUCUUUAAAUGAGGACUAGAAUCAAUGGCAUCACGAGGGUCCCACUGUCUCCUUUUUCUAAUCAGUGAAAUUGAUCUCCUCGUGAAGAAGCGAGGAUAACUUUAUAAGACGAGAAGACCCCAUGGAGCUUAAANACUCAAUAAAUAANCCCUANCAACAUCNNNNNAAAUAUUUUAAGGGGCCNNNUANNUCCAUUAGUUUUCGGUUGGGGUGACCACGGAGAACAGCCUAACCUCCGUAAUGAAAAGANAUAANAAUCAUAAUCUAAGAGCUACACCUCUAAGAAUUAAUAAAUUAACUUAUAGUGAUCCNAAUACUUUNNAUUGAUCAAUGAACCAAGUUACCCUGGGGAUAACAGCGCUAUCCACUUCUAGAGUCCAUAUCGCCAAGUGGGUUUACGACCUCGAUGUUGGAUCAGGGUGUCCCAGUGGUGCAGCC